rnacentral:rRNA from 1 species
GUGCCAGCAGCCGCGGUAAAACGUAGGUUCCGAGCGUUAUCCGGAUUUACUGGGCGUAAAGCGCGUUCAGGCGGUUUGGCAAGUCGGGCAUGAAAUCCUUCGGCUCAACCGGGGGAGGUUGUCCGAUACUGCUGAACUGGAGGGCAGUAGAGGGUGGUGGAAUUCCGGGUGUAGUGGUGAAAUGCGUAGAGAUCCGGAGGAACACCAGUGGCGAAAGCGGCCACCUGGACUGCACCUGACGCUGAAACGCGAAAGCUAGGGGAGCGAACGGGAUUAGAUACCCCCGUAGUCC